AACACGGAGAGUUUGAUCCUGGCUCAGGAUGAACGCUAGCGGCGUGCCUAACGCAUGCAAGUCGAACGGGAAGCUUCCUUCGGGAAGUGGAGAGUGGCGAACGGGUGAGUAACACGUAGGUGACCUGCCUUAGAGAGGGGGACAACCAGUGGAAAC
rnacentral:rRNA from 1 species